rnacentral:rRNA from 1 species
GAUGAACGCUGGCGGCGUGCCUAAUACAUGCAAGUCGAGCGAACGGACGAGAAGCUUGCUUCUCUGAUGUUAGCGGCGGACGGGUGAGUAACACGUGGAUAACCUACCUAUAAGACUGGGAUAACUUCGGGAAACCGGAGCUAAUACCGGAUAAUAUUUUGAACCGCAUGGUUCAAAAGUGAAAGACGGUCUUGCUGUCACUUAUAGAUGGAUCCGCGCUGCAUUAGCUAGUUGGUAAGGUAACGGCUUCCAAGGCAACGAUGCAUAGCCGACCUGAGAGGGGGAUCGGCCACACUGGAACUGAGACACGUUCCAGACUCCUACGGGAGGCAGCAGUAGGGAAUCUUCCGCAAUGGGCGAAAGCCUGACGGAGCAACGCGGCGUGAGUGAUGAAGGUCUUCGGAUCGUAAAACCCUGUUAUUAGGGAAGAACAUAUGUGUAAGUAACUGUGAACAUCUUGACGGUACCUAAGCAGAAAGCCACGGCUAACUACGU